AUUGUAAGUAGCGGUUAACUCGAACAGUUAAGUGAAAACAGUUUUUUCAAGGUGGCACUCUUUUUCCCUAAAAAGGGUUUUUUAAUGAGGCCACCCAAUAAAGAAAGGUUCGAGUUUAUCAAGUUUUCCCAGUUGUUGAGUUUGCAUGGUUAUCAUUUUAAAUUCGGAAACAAAAGACUUGGUCGUCCUUGUGUAAUUUAGGGCAGAUUCAAAUCGCAUGCGUAAAGUUUUUUACUCCCCAUCACCGCUUGGUGAUUGGAAGCACUAGUAUGAAGUCUUAAGCCCUCAUUGCCAGUUGGCGAUCGGAGGUAAAAGUCAAGUUUUAAGUCCUCAUCGCCACUCGGCGAUUGAAGGCACAAGUUAAGUUUUUAAGUCCUCAUCGCCACUCGGCGAUUGAAGGCACAAGUUAGGUUUUUAAGUCCUCAUCGCCACUCGGUGAUUGAAGGCGCAAGUUAGGUUUUUAAGUCCUCAUCGCCACUCGGUGAUUGAAGGCGCAAGUUAGGUUUUUAAGUCCUCAUCGCCACUCGGCGAUUGAAGGCGCAAGUUAGGUUUUUAAGUCCUCAUCACCACCCAGCAAUCGGAGGUGAAAGUUAAGUUUGAAGUCCUACUCGCCUAGAGCGAGUAUAGGCGAGAACAUAUCAGAAGUCCUACUCGCCUAGAACGAGUUUAGGCGAGAACAGAUUAAGAAGUCCUACUCGCCAAGAACGAUUAUAGGCGAGUGUUCAGAGCAAGAUGACAGGUAUGUCCAGUAUGAGUUAAAAUCCGGACGCCUAGUCCUUGAGCAGGGGUUAAAGGAUUCCUUCGGGACGCCCCCUCCUUAAGUAUGAAUAGCUAGCCCCGGUACCAGUUAAAAUCCGGACGCCUAGUCCUUGAGCAGGGGUUAAAGGAUUCCUUCGGGACGCCCCCUCCUCAAGUAUGAAUAGCUAGCCCCGGUACCAGUUAAAAUCCGGACGCCUAGUCCUUGAGCAGGGGUUAAGGGAUUCCUUCGGGACGCCCCCUCCUCAAGUAUGAAUAGCUAGCCCCGGUACCAGUUAAAAUCCGGACGCCUAGUCCUUGAGCAGGGGUUAAGGGAUUCCUUCGGGACGCCCCCUCCUCAAGUAUGAAUAGCUAGCCCCGGUACCAGAUGAGAUUAAAAGUCCUCAGUGCAUCCAGGGAAAAGGU
rnacentral:lncRNA from 1 species